rnacentral:rRNA from 1 species
UACGUAGGGUGCAAGCGUUAAUCGGAAUUACUGGGCGUAAAGCGUGCGCAGGCGGCUUUGCAAGACAGAUGUGAAAUCCCCGGGCUUAACCUGGGACCUGCAUUUGUGACUGCAUUGCUGGAGUGCGGCAGAGGGGGAUGGAAUUCCGCGUGUAGCAGUGAAAUGCGUAGAUAUGCGGAGGAACACCGAUGGCGAAGGCAAUCCCCUGGGCCUGCACUGACGCUCAUGCACGAAAGCGUGGGGAGCAAACAGG